GGAGAGAUAGCGUGCCGCUGCGCGAUCGCUUCCGUGAGAUUCAAAUCAGACGGCUAAGUAUGUAGAACUGCCCGGUGAUGGUUUGCGGACGCGGGUUCAAUUCCCGCCGGCUCCACCA
rnacentral:tRNA from 1 species